UUAGGAUUGGCGAAAUUGGUAGACGCGAUCGUCUUGAAAACGAUUAUCGAAAGAUGUGUGGGUUCGAAUCCCAUAUCCAGCA
rnacentral:tRNA from 2 species